GAUGAACGCUGGCGGCGUGCCUAAUACAUGCCAGUAGAACGCUGAAGGAGGAGCUUGCUCUUCUGGAUGAGUUGCGAACGGGUGAGUAACGCGUAGGUAACCUGCCUGGUAGCGGGGGAUAACUAUUGGAAACGAUAGCUAAUACCGCAUGACAACAGUUAUUGCAUGAUAACUGUUUAAAAGGGGCAACUGCUCCACUACCAGAUGGACCUGCGUUGUAUUAGCUAGUUGGUGAGGUAACGGCUCACCAAGGCGACGAUACAUAGCCGACCUGAGAGGGGGAUCGGCCACCCUGGGACUGAGACACGGCCCAGACUCCUACGGGAGGCAGCAGUAGGGAAUCUUCGGCAAUGGACGGAAGUCUGACCGAGCAACGCCGCGUGAGUGAAGAAGGGUUUCGGAUCGUAAAGCUCUGUUGUAAGAGAAGAACGAGUGUGAGAGUGGAAAGUUCACACUGUGACGGUAUCUUAACAGAAAGGGACGGCUAACUACGUG
rnacentral:rRNA from 1 species